rnacentral:rRNA from 1 species
CCUUCGGGUCGUAAAGCACUUUCGCCUGGGAACAAGGGAAGUAGGCUAAUAUCCUGCGGACUUGAGGGUACCAGGUAAAGAAGCACCGGCUAACUACGUGC